rnacentral:rRNA from 1 species
AACGAACGCUGGCGGCAGGCCUAACACAUGCAAGUCGAGCGAGGACUUCGGUUCUAGCGGCGGACGGGUGAGUAACGCGUGGGAAUGUGCCCUUCUCUACGGAAUAGCCCUGGGAAACUGGGAGUAAUACCGUAUACGACCUAAUGGGGAAAGAUAUAUCGGAGAAGGAUCAGCCCGCGUUGGAGUAGGUAGUUGGUGGGGUAAUGGCCUACCAAGCCGACGAUUCAUAGCUGGGUUGAGAGGAUGAUCAGCCACACUGGGACUGAGACACGGCCCAGACUCCUCCGGGAGGCAGCAGUGGCGAAUCUUAGACCAUGGGGGCAACCCUGAUCUAGCCCUGCCGCGUGAGUGAUGAAGGCCUUAGAGUUGUAAAGCUCUUUCAGCUGGGAAGAUAAUGACGGUACCAGCAGAAGAAGCCCCGGCUAACUCCGUG